UUAUACAUAUAUAUAUUGUUGUUAUUUUUUUUAGGUUUUUUUUGCUUUUGUUUAGUUUUCUCCGAGGAGAAACUACUGGAUACGAAUAGUACACACAUACAUAUACAUAUACAAUAUAUAAGUUAUAGAAGAAUGGGCGCGCCCUUUGUCUUUUAGAUGCAAAUGUCGCGCUGGCUCCAUUCGCAACACAGAUAAGGAUUAAUUAAUACACGAUGCUAAAUGCUAAAUUGUAAGUGCUACGGUUUUGUUGAUUUUUCCUUUUUGUUUUUUUUUUGUAAUUGGUAAACUGUAAACGGUAAUUGGUAAUUGGUAAUCGAUAAUCGAUAAUAAUUCGUUAAACAAUAUGCAUUAAUAUUAAUUAUAUAAAUUUUUGUUUGCUUUUGUUUUUUUUUUUUUACAAGAAAUCAACACUACAACAGAAUUUUGCUUUUACUUCUCUUUUUGUUUUGCUAUGUUUUCUUUUGUUCAUGUUCGAUUUACGCCUCUCUCGUAUAAUAUAUAUAUAUACUAUAAUUAUAUUAUGUUUUGUUUAAUAUGUAUAUAUAUGCAAAAUACACUUAGGAAAAACAUUGUUAAUUUGUAGUUUAUGCUAUAUAAUUAUAUCAUAUUUUGUAUGUACUCUAGAAAUAUAUUCAUAUACAUAUACAUACAUAUCUAUAGAUAUAUGCAUAUAUAAUGUUGUUUGUUUUUUCGUUUUUUCUUGUAUCUGGUAAUAGUAGUGAUAACUUAGGGCUUAAACUAAAUCUUUAUAGUUAACACGUUAAACGAAACAUACAAAAAAUACUUA